GCCCGCGUGGCUCAGUGGUAGAGCGUGACCAAUGAACCAGGAGGUCAGGGUUCCAUUCCCUGUUGGGGCA
rnacentral:tRNA from 1 species